rnacentral:misc_RNA from 1 species
ACAAUCCUGCAUCUGUGUUGUGGAAAAGGAUAUUUAGAAGCCACACGGGUGCUGGUAGAAGCAGGUGCGAAUAUCAAAUCACGUGAUGCCUGGGCGAUGACCCCGCUUGUCCACAGCAUUAUUUCUCAGCACUUUGAUAUCGUAGAAUACUUGCUAUCGGAAUGUCCACGAGCUGUUAACCUAACGGACAAGUUCGACAAACCACCACUCCAUUUUGCAAUAGAGUCUGACAAUGUAGAUAUCUUUAAUCUGCUAAUAAACAGGGGCGCCGAUAUCAACCUGAGUACAAUGCAUGGGAUUACCCCCCUUAUGUUUGCUUGCACCACUCCAAAGUUGUCCAACAGGAAGGAAAUGGUCAGUAUUCUCCUGGAGAAAGGCGCGCUGGUGGAUUUAAUGGACGUCCUGGAUUACAAAACUGCACUUCAGUAUGCAGUGGCAAAUCGACACACAGAAGUGGUCUCUCUUUUGCUGGUAGCUGGGGCAGACGCCAAUAGUUUGGACAAGGGCGGAAGUACUCCUCUAACCAAUCUCAUGGCUUCUUCUAUACGUCCCCGGAUGCUGGAUUCCACCGUCAUGGAUGACGUCAUGACAAUCGUUGUUCUGUUGCAACAAAUGGGAGCCGAGUUGAAUUUGAACAAAUGUGAAUACAGUAAUCCACUGAUGGUAGCAACGUUGUUAAAAUCUGCAAAACUGGUGGACUAUUUUUUGGCAUGCGGAGCCGACCCAAACAUCAAAUUCAUAUCUGGAAUAACUCCUCUACAUGCGGCCAUUGGAAACAGAGAUCUCCAGACCACACAAUUAUUAUUACGUCACAAUGCCAAUGUUGCUGCCAAGGCAAUGAUCAGGCACAAGAGACAGGAAGAGAGACUGUGUGAUCCUUUUGAAAUGGCUGUUGAUCUUCUGCAAUGGGACAUUGUAAAUCUAUUGACUGAGUAUGGGUAUAACUUGUCGCAGCAUGAAUACCUGAGGGACAGUGUAUUUUUGGAUACAAUUCCUGCAGCUCUUAAAAACGAUCCUUCCAUGUUCGCCCUUUUACAAGAAACAGCACGAAAGCCGCCUUCUCUUCAAAAACUCGUUGUUCUUCGGGUGCGUGAUAUCUUGAAAAUUGACAUUUCCAACAAAGUGCAAAGCCUAUCUUUACCAAAUUCAUUGAAGAGUGACAUAAGCAUGGUAGAGAUUUCUUGACAAUUUUCUGUAAACCCAACGAUCUAUUAUCCACAUGUGCAUGUAUUAAAUAACAAACGUAGUUUCUUUUUUAUAGCUUUUAAGCAACUCUUAUAACAAUACUCCUCAAACGCACUACAAUGUGUUACAUGUACUAGAAUAUCGUAAAUUCUUUCAAUACACAAUCAGUGUAAUAACAAUAUCAUUUGC